UACCAGCACCCCGAGUGGUCGGGACGAUUAUUGGGCCUAAAGCAUCCGUAGCCGGUACUGCAAGUCUUCCGUUAAAUCCACCUGCUCAACAGUUGGGCUGCGGGGGAUACUACAGCGCUAGGAGGCGGGAGAGGCAAGCGGUACUUAAUGGGUAGGGGUAAAAUCCACUGAUCCAUUGAAGACCACCAGUGGCGAAGGCGGCUUGCCAGAACGCGCUCGACGGUGAGGGAUGAAAGCUGGGGGAGCAAACCG
rnacentral:rRNA from 1 species